rnacentral:lncRNA from 1 species
CAAAAAGAUAUAUUUUCACACUGCUUUCUCCAGAGGAUAUCUCUUUUCCUUGUUUCUUUUCAAUUUCUAGGGCUGUGAACAAGGAACCAAGUAGUUUGACUGCUGCCUGCUGCAGUCAGCGGAGCAUGCCAAUCCUCACAGCAUUUUUUUGAUCAACCUGAGAUGCCUUUGCACCACAUGUUGCUCUGCAGACAAGUGGAAUAGCUGUGCCAG